GACGAACGCUGGCGGCGUGCUUAACACAUGCAAGUCGAACGAAGUGGCGAACGGGUGAGUAAUACGUGGGUACCCUGCCCUUCUUUUUGGGAUAAGCCUUGGAUACGGGGUCUAAUACCUCAUAUAGGGUGAUGGGCUGGCGGCCUAUCAGCUUGGUGGUGGGGUGCUGGCCUACCAAGGCGGUGACGGGUAGCCGGCCUGAGCGGGGGACGGGCCAGAGAGGGACUGCGAUACGGCCCAGAUUCCUACGGGAGGCAGCAGGGGGGGAGAUGGCACAAUGGACGAAAGCCGGAUGCAGCGACGCCGCGUGGGCGAUGAAGGCUGGCGGGUUGUAAACCUGUUGUGCUAUGGAUCGGGUAGGGGGAGAAGAAGCGCCGGCUAACUACGUGCCAGCAGCCGCGGUAAUAC
rnacentral:rRNA from 1 species